CCCGGCGUGGUGUAGUUGGGAGCACGGCUGCCCUGGCCCUCAUUAAUACUAUAUUCUUAGGGGAUCGCCGGCGCGGCAAGUCCAGGUUCGAUUCCUGGCGCUGGGA
rnacentral:tRNA from 1 species